GCCUUGGUAGUGCAGUAGGUAGCGCGUCAGUCUCAUAAUCUGAUGGUCGUGAGUUCGAUCCUCACCCGGGGCA
rnacentral:tRNA from 1 species